UUGUUUUAUUGAAUUCUUAUAUCAUUGUCAUCAUCCUCAUGUUUAUAUUAUUUUUGAAAGUCAUAUGUGGCCUGUAGUGCAUAGAUGGACUUGGUAUGAUUAUGACCAGGGAUUAUUCGGUGUAAUCAUGACCGUAAUGUUACAAAUGAUGUGGUAAAAGUCCUCAUUGGCCCGUAGUGCAUUGAUGGACAGUUGUUGGC
rnacentral:lncRNA from 1 species